rnacentral:lncRNA from 1 species
AUCUAUUUUCGUGUUCUGCAAAUGCUCUCUCAUAACAUCCUUUCUGGUUGCGCACCGUCGUAGGCUCAACAUCAUAAAAUAUAGGUAUAACAGGUCUUGUUGAAGUUUCACAGCAAUUAAGUAUCUCUACCAGUUCACGCAAGCACCAAGUGGAGGAAGCAUAAUUCUUUGAUAAGACAACAAGGAAAACUUGAGAGCCCUGAAUGGCUUGUAGAAACUCGGGUGCUAUGAAAUCACCUUUUCUGAUACAUUGGUCAUCUUUGAAGGCAAGAAUGCCUUGUCGACGGAGAGCUCCAAAGAGAAAACUAGUGAAGUUGUAGCGCGUGUCUUCAUCACGGAAGCUGACAAAUACAUCGUAUGCAUUAGAUAAAGAAGAGGUGCGAUGGAUGAUGGCGUCGGACGCUGGUACGGAAGGUCCGAUAAGGGCUGUUGGGUGAGACACGGUCAUACCGUCGGACAUGCCGGACAUGAUCCGGUCCGGUUCUUUGACAAACCGGAGGAUACGGCGGAGAAUGUUGAAGACAGGCGAAUACAUUUAUUAAGGAAAUCAGAAACUCAAUUCCUGGAACUCUUUUCCUUGAAUUUUAGAUUUGAGUGAGAAAGCGAGAGAUAGUUGUUUAAUAGGAGAAGUAAGGGAGUGGCCUGACUUUAUAGAGAAAGGAAAGAGAGGUAAAUGUAAGGAAGAGAAACAUCUUGGUCUUGUAAUGCAUCGGUAUAACAGGUCUGUGUUCAUUAGUGGAAGCAGAAAUUGCUGCGAAAAUGUAAGCAAAAGUCAAGCGGUUGAUGGUGGAAUUAACGCCUUUCAUUUUUGCGUUUUUUCGUAGAAGCUUAUGAGAAAAAUCAUUGAUUAUAAUUGUACUAUUUGCCUGCGAAAAUGCAGACAAACAAUCUAGAAAUAUAGAUUCGAAUCCUGCGGUUGGUGGUGGAAUUAUAAAGUUAACGCGUUUCUUACUGUUUGCCUGCAAAAAUGCAGGCAGUCAAUCUAAGCUUUUUUCGUAGAAGCUUUUCAGAAAAAUCAUUCUAAGAUUAAUAAAACGCGUUUCAUUUUUGCGAGUACUGUUUGGUAUUGUAUGGAUAGGUCUACUUCAUGUUCCUCACUGAUAAUUAAAAGCUGGUAAAGUUCUUCUUGAUACAGAGUUUCUUUACUUAUUUAUCUUCUUAUUCUCAAUCAAUAUUGAUUUGACAUAUAUUUUUAAUCUACUAAACUGAUAUUUUAUUUUAUUUUAUUAAAAUAUUCAUAUAUAAUAUGUGGUCAUUUAUAAUAUAUAUAAUUAAUUCUUUUCCAGAUUGGAUUUUUUCAAUCUAUUGAUUAUUAAAUAGUUAAAUCAAUAUUUUAUAUUGUAUAACAUCGGAUAUGAAAAUAGUUAUUUUAGAAUAAAAUUAAAUAUAAUUUUAGUUUCUAAAUUUUGAAUACGAAAUUAAAAUUAGUUCAUAUUUCAAAAUUUAAUAUAAGUUAAUUUAUUGUAUAAUAUAAUUAGACUAUUGAUUGUAUGAGUAUGAUAAAAUUAUUAAUACUAACACAAUCAUAUUUUGAAAUAAUUUUAAAUAAAAUAGAGAUAAGUUUGUUGAAUUUUUAUAGAGAAAUCCAUUCAAAUUUGCUAAAUUUGGAGCCAUUUCUACAAAUGUUAGAAAUUGAGAAAACAAAACCCAUACAAUUUUGUUUUUCCUUGAAAUAGUCUAGUUCUAAUCUUUAUCUAUAUAAUUUUUCUUUGUAGAAGGGGUGGAACCGACGUUUUCUUGUUCUAUCCAAAUAUUUCUUUUUAUUCUUUUUUAUGUUAUUUAUACGUUUUUUAUCACUGAAUAAUAUUUCUAUACUCAAUAUUUUGUUGUGAAAAAUGUUUCAUACAUACAUGAAACUAAUUAUUAGUAUCAUAAAAGUAUUGUAUUAUAAUAUAUGUAAAAUAUCUUUUUUGUCCCAAUUUUGGUUACGAAUAUUCGAAAUGUUCCCAUUUUAUUUUUUUUGUUCAAUAUAGUCCUAAAAAACGUAAUUAUGGUCAAUUUAGUCCUUUUUCUGUUCAAUGUAAUCCUAAAGAACGUAAUUUGUGUUCAAUUUAGUCCUUUUUACAAACUCCGUGAACCACAAACAAGGACUAAAUUGAACACAAAUUACGUUCUUUAGGACUACAUUGAACAUAAAAAGGACUAAAUUGAACAUAAUUACGUUGUUUAGGAUUAUAUUGAACAGAAAAAUAAAAUGGGGACCAGUUUGAAUAUUCGCAGGGAAAAAAAAGGUAUUUAACCUAUAAUAUAUGACACAAGUUUGAAUUCCACAUUAAACGUGUUUUCAGGUUUCAAAAUUUGAUGAUAAAUUAAUUGUUGAUUAAGUUUCAUUGAUUUUAAGUUUACCAAGACUUGAUUGGAGAAAUAAUGGAAACUACAUGAAAAAUGAACAACUCUUGAAAACUCAAUCACUUUUAUACACCAGCCAAAGAAUCAUGUCAUGUUCCUAAAUACAUUACUUUUCUUUGUGUUCCAAAAACUUGAUUAUACACAUUUCUUGCAACCUAUCUAUUAUGAUUCAUCACCUUGGUAUCACUUCAGAGACUGUUAUUUGAUUGAGAGAGUAAUGCAUAGAAGUGUUUGAUGAAGAUUCUCUUUCAAUGGCUGCUCUUCCAACAGAAAAUGCAGGGCGUGUGGGGCUGGGAAGACUCAUUGUGUCACUUGCAAGCAUAUGAACAACACUUGACAUUGUUGGUCUAUCUGCUGCAUCUUCUUGCACACACAACAGUCCAAUGUGCAUACACUUCACAAAUUCACUGUGUACACUUGAUUUUUCUAUUGAUGGAUCCAUCAAUUCCAACCCUUUGCUUUCACACCAGAGGUUCCAUGCCUAUGAUAGUAAAUGCAGAUGAUUUAGAUAGAACCACUUGAAGAAAAUGAAGAGAACAUAAGGUUAAACGAUAGAGAAAUUCUAGGAAUGAAUAAGUUUCAACCAAGAACAAUACUAUUAUUAGUACUCUUCUAAUAAUGGAUAUAUAAGGAAGCUUUAAGACUAGAAAACAGGUAAAACCAACAUAAAACUUUUGUUCUUGUGCUAGAGUAGGUGACAACAAACAUUUGGGGACUAAAAGCAGAACAUGUGCAUGUAUCAUGAACAUAUUUAAACAUAAAUGUAAGUUUGAAACAUACAUAUACGAGAAGGCUUUGGCCUCUGUCUGACUGAUAGAAUUUACAGCUCAUUUUUCCACUGAUGAUCUCUAGCAAAAGAACACCAAAGCUGAAAACAUCUGACUUCACUGAAAACAAACCUUCCAUAGCAUACUCUGGAGCCAUGUAUCCACUGCUCAAAAUCAAUGUAACAGUAAGCUUUAUAAAUCUCAAGUAAAUUCAGCAAGAGGAGAAGGCUAGAAAAUUAAUUGUGAUGCUAUGUGGCAAUUCAUAGUUACAUGUUCAUGUGAAGAUUUUGGUACACAAUUGAAAGAAGGAAAAUGGUUCAUACUAUGUUCCAACAACUCUAAUUGUGUUGGCCUGCCUCUGGUCUCCUCCAAAUGUUCUUGCCAAUCCAAAGUCUGAGAUUUUAGGAUUCAUUUCUUGAUCUAGCAAAAUGUUGCUAGCUUUCAGGUCUCUGUGAAUAACCCUUAAUCUUGAGUCUUCAUGUAGAUAUAGAAGCCCUUUAGCAAUCCCAUUUAUAAUGUUUAAUCGAUUUUUCCAAUCCAGAUGGACACCCUUCUCGGUAUCUGAAAUUCAAUUCUAAGAAAUAUGAUCACUAUAUUCAAAAACAUGUCAUUCAAAGUGAAAAAUAUGACUACAUUCACAGCAAAUAUGAACUAGGUAGCAAAAUGUUGUGUUGGUGUUUGUGCAUGAACUAACUUCUAUUAUAUGUAAUCAAACUCAGAAGUUUAUAUCGGAAUAUAUAUCAAGAUCUUCUGUCAAAUUGUUGAUUUGUUUCAAUGACGAGAAAUGAAAUAAUGAACAACUGGGUCAUUGUUUUGGAGUCAUACCAAAUAGGUGGAAAUCAAGGCUUGAAUUUGGCAUGAAUUCAUAGACUAGCAGCUUUUCAUUUUGCUCAAUGCAGCCAGCCAACAGUCUCACAAGAUUGCGAUGCUGCAAUUUGGCAAUCAAUAUUACUUCAUUCUUGAAUUCCUCCCCACCUUGAACUGAUGUUUUCGAAAGCCUUUUAACAGCAAUUUGUCUUCCAUCUGGUAAUAUACCCUAGAAUAUUUUUCAAAUUUAUAAGUAAGAAUGUUGCAAGUGAAGAAACCAAACAAGUAAACAUCAUGCCUGAUAUCCUAAUUCACUACCUUAUAGACAGGUCCAAAUCCACCUUUCCCCAGUUUUUGUUCAUCAGAAAAAUUGUUUGUACAUUUUAGAAUAGUACUCAGAGGUAUCAUAGGAAGGUCAGUGUUCAUACUCUCCUCCUUUUCUGUUUGUUCUUGUGAAAAUAUUGAAUUUAGUCCCUCCUCUUGUNUANUUUGUUUGUCUGCAAAGAUGAAAUUAUCAGACAUAAACAGGAACUNAUAGAUAGCCUUGGCUGAGAGAACACUUUUAGAGUUAUGAUAUGAUUGGAACUUUAUUUCUAUAAACACUUGCAAAAGAAGAAAAUAAGAAAUGAAAAAUCUUUUCCACAGACUAAAAUUAGCUUAUAAAUAAGUUAAACAUCAACUUUUUUUGGAGUAGUUAACAGGAGAAAGCUUUUACAAAUUAGUUUAACAUAUGUACAUAAACUAAUUAUAGUCUAUGGAAAAGCUUUAUCUCAUAUUUCUUCUUUCUAUUUUCCUCUCCUACAAGUUUUUCUGAAGAGGUUUAUCCAAUGUUCUUUAUGCUUACCUUUUUUCCUUUUCAAGCAGCAGUAGUAUAUGCUGAUAGCCAAUAGAGCUAGUACUACAAUUCCAGCUACGACAAUGAUUACUAUAAGCCACCACCUUCUGUUAUUCCCAUCUGUGGCUGCAUUAUCUAGAGAAAAUAGCAAGUUUAAUUUGUGUAAAAUGGUGAGAACUGAAAAUAUGUUUAUUUCAGGCCUUAUAAAAACUCAGGAUCAAACAAGCACAAGUUGUUGGGGAGCAAGGGGUAUGAAUUUUGAAAUCUGUGACAAGAUAAUCUUCAACAGAAGAUGUUAAUAACAACACUUUAACCAUCAAUCCAAAUUUAAGGGAAUGAAUUUUCACUGAUCAUAUAAACCGUAGCAAAUGAAUGUCUCAGAAUGAAGGUGAAAAAAAUGAACUCAUACCUUGCUGAGGUGGUGGUGCAGAAUCAGUACCAUUCAAAAAGAAAGGCUGAGUUUCAUACAUAACCAUACAACUUGGAGAAAAGAUACGCCACACCUUCUUCUCCUGACAGCAAUUGUCAACAUCCUCAAGCAUAUUGCUCAAACAUGUUCUGCAUUCCUCAGCUGUAAUGUCUCUGCUGCACUGCACCCAACCAUACCUUCUCUGAGUGCCAUUUAUGUUGAACAUAUGUGUUCCAAACUUCAAGGGUGCCUCUGACCCUAUUUGUAUCAAACCAUUCAUCAAAACCUGAGCAUCACUGUCAAACUCUCCAGCACUAGUAGAAUUCUGCGUGGCAUCAAACAUGGGAAUCCUUGGCCUAAGGGUGAGAUUGCCAAAGAAAUUCUCGUUUGAGUACCUCAGANNACAANAGNNGNNCCAGAGAAUAGCAGANGCAUUGUUGGGGCAGUGCUGCAUGAGCAAGAUACUAGAGUUUUGGACACAAGCAUUGCAAAGGCUGGUGUUCACAUCACCACGGCAAAGGUAGAGUCCAUAAACCAUGUCUUGAUUAACACCAGAAGUUCUAUUCCCAAAACCAUUGCUGGUAGCAGAAUCAGAUGAGAGGGAAGUGAACAAAUUGUUGAGGUUGGUUUGGUAAGAAGUAGAAGGAGGAGCAGAAGAUUCGUCCAAACAAGCAUAUCUAUAAUCAAGUGGUUGUUGUGAGUUGCUGCUGUUCUGAGCAGAAACAAAGCAAACAACGAGGUAUAUCAGUUUGAUGAUGAAUAACCACUGAUAGAUCAUUCUUCUUUUGCUGCAAUCACCACUGUGUAUCAUCAGCAUAAUGAUCCGAGGAGUGUUUCAGAGGCCAAGAUUUCGAAGUUAUACAUCAUCGAUUUGUCAAACGUUUGACAUUUGCUCAUUUUCAUGUUCUUGCUUGUAGCAUCAACUUUUUGACCAUGCAAAACACAAAAUGUGAAACCCCAUAUAGUAUUAGAAAAUUUCAAAAAUUGGUUAAUACUAAAUUAACUUUAUACAAAUUGUUCCGGCUUAAUUAAGUAUCAAGUUUUAUAAUUUAUGUAUUUUCAAUUGAAUUUUUUUUUAUUUUUUUUCUAUUGAGUACUUAAUAUUUUAUGUUUUUUAUUUGAGUAGGCAUCAUUUGAUUUUUAUGUGAAAUAUGUGAUAUUACUAUUAUGUAUUUUUGUUUGAUUUGAAAUGUGUUGGAUACCGAUAUAUUAUUGUUAUUAAACUAAAAAAUAGUUAUUAUUACGAUAUUACUAAAUUGUUAUAAACUAUGACGUAGAAGUUUUGAUGAUAAUGGAAACAUUCACACUGGUAAAAGUCAAAAUAAUAAAAAUCACUCUUAAUACAUUAAGAGUAAUAUUAUUGAAUAUUAAUCAUAAAAUUUUAUAUCAUUUUUACUAAUCACAAAAUUUAUAUUUUAAAAACAAAUAAAUAAAAUAAUGAUAAAAAUUUAUCUGGAAUCUAGGAUUCCAUACAAUUCUGUUUCUAAAAAACAAAAGAAAAAAUAAAUAUUUAAACUUUUUUAUUUUUUAAUUCUUAAUUUUUAAAGUAUUUGAGACUAUUAUACAUGAUAGUACCAGUAAUAUUAUUUAAUAAAAUCUUAUUCAUAUGUUUUUUUUUUGUUCAUAUUUGGAAGCGUGUUUGUAAGCAAUGAAAAAAUAGUUUAACAUUAAAAGCAAAAUCAUGGUCAACAUUGGUACCUCUGAAAAAGUUAAAACCAUGUUUGGCAUGCAAAUAAUUGAGGUAAGGGACCAUCCAAUGUCUUCAUCAUGUUUUGGUUAAGAUAUUCAUAAAUGUUGAAAGUAUAUAUGUCUUUGGAUUGAUGAUCCAAACACUUUAUAAUUUUUAAUUUUUAUUUUAUUUUAAUUUUUUUUCUGGCAGAUUAGAACUACACUGAAUCAGACAUAAAAGGAAAAUAAAUGAUGAAAAGUAUAAUUUGGCUAACAUCAAGUAAAAAUAACAAAACUUUAAGGUUGUCUCAAUUUAUAGUUUAGGAAAAAGUUUUUUUAACAACUCUUUUUUAACCAUUUUUUACAACGUACGUGACAAUUUGUGAUUGAUCCGUUUCAAAUAUUUUUUUAAAAUAAAUUCAAACAGACCAAUAAAAUUGUAACACGUGUCAUGUUAUAAAAAAGUUGUUAAAAAAAAAGUUGUUAAAAUAUGAUUUUCCAUGGUUUAAAUGGAAUUAGGAGUUAAACUUGAUUAUAAUAAAGAGUACCCAAAAGGUUUCUUUAAAAUUUAUGAGAUAGGAUAAACCAAAUGGUAGGUUGACAUGUGUCAUUCAUAUUUUUUCAAAAAAUCAUUCAAUUUACCUUUUAAAGAAAUAAGGAGAAUAAUGCAUUAGUUUGUGUGAUUAUUUGAUAACAAUGUAAAUUAAAUUUUGUUAAUAAAUUAUCUAAAAAUUAAUAAAUAUAUUUUUGUAAUUAAAUAUCCAAAUAUUAAUUAUAAAUUAUUAUUUCUAAAUUAUAAAAAAAAUAAUUAGGUUAUUUUUUAUUUAUCUGUAAGAUUUUUUUUUGUUCAUAUUUUUUUUUCAAUUUUUUCUUUUAAUUAAUCGCUAUUUUAAAUUAAAAUAAUUACAUUACUAUUUUUAUCCUUUAAAUGACUAUUAAUCUAAAUUUAGUUGUUAUAAAUUAAAACAAAUAUUUUACUAUUUUAUCCUUUUAAUAAUUACUUUUUUUAAUUCAAAUAAUUAUUUAUAAUAAAUAAUAAAAAUGUAUACAUAUUAUUUUUUUAUAAUUAUUUUAAUAAAAAUUAUUUUAAAGAGAAAAUAAAAAUUAGAAUAAAAAAAUUAACAUGUUUUUACUUGUUUGAAUAAUAUUCUUUCAAUUCAUGUAAUAAUUAUAGUUAAAAACUAAAUUUUGAGAACUCCAAAAAUUAUUUUAAUUAAAAAACAAUUUAAAUGUGAUACGAAUUUUUAUGUACAUAGUGAAUUAAAAAGGUUUAAUUAUUGAUUAAAAGUAUAAAAAUAUUUAUCAAGUUCCAAAUUAUUGUUCAAUAAUAUUUUUAAGAUUCCAAAAGUAAAAAAUUAAAAAAAAAAAUUGUAUAAACUUUUCCCAAUAUAACAUCUUAAUAGAUCUUGAAAAAAAAAACGAAUACAAUAAUGAGUCAAACUUACUAGUAAUUCAUUAAUGGCAAAUACAUCUUGGAAGGGUCUUCUAAAUAAUUAUUUUAUGUUUAAAAGGUUCAAUUUGUCAUUUUUCUAUUGAGAAUAUUUAAUUAUAUAAAUUUGACUUGCAUUAACCAAAAUCAUCAAAUUUCAUCUAAAAUAUAGAAGAAUAUCGGAAUUCAUACAUCAAAAACAUCAAAUAAAUAAAUAAUACAUGAGAGAGAAAGAAGGUGAACAAAAUAAAGAUUAAGUUUAAAGUCAAUGAAAGUUGUACAUGUGUGAAAUGAUAAACAUGUCUCUCACCUUCCAUACACAUAUAUCAAUUUUAAAAUAGCAAUAAAAAAUGUAUAUAUAAAUAUCUCUUCAUAAUAGUAUUCCCUCAUAUAGAAUAAUACAAAUCUUAUUAAUCAAUUAUUUUAAAUAUUAGUUUGCAAAUAUUAAAACAUCAUUUGCAUUAAACAAGUUGAAAAGUUUUAUAGUUCUUUAUAAAUGGUGUCAUUAUUUCAUAUUAUUAUUUUUCUUAGUGUUUAAAACAUGUAUUAUAAUUAUUUCUCAAAUUGCAAAUAUUAUGUAUUUUUUUAUGUAUGUUUUUGUGAUUGUUAUGUUUAGAAUUGUAUACAUAAAACAUGUAUUAUAAUUAUUUCUCCUUAUACUAUGUUUUCUAAAAUUAGUUGGAAGGUAGUUGAAAAUUGAAAAGGUAUUUGAGAGUUAAAAAGCUAAUUAUUAAUAAUUAAAAAACUUAUCAAUAAAAUUAUCUUAAAGCUGUAAAAUGGUAAACAAAGAUACAAAUAAUUAUUGAGUCAAAUCUUAAUAUUAAGUAAUUACAUAUUUUUAAUAAUUAUAAAUAUAACAAUAUUCAUGGUAAAAUAAAUUAAAAUUGUAUUCGUUAAUCAAUUUAGGUUUGAUUAGCAAUAAUAGAAAAAUCAAUUAACAUUAAUACCCCCAAAUACUUUUAAAAGUCUAAAUGUGGUCAUUGUCUCAUGUAAUUAAUGUGAUUAUUAAUGCGAUUAAUUAAUUUUUCAUAAAAUAAUAGCUUAAUAAUGUAGUUUGAAUUUUCAGCAUAGGACAAUAAAUUGGAAUAUGUAAAUGAUCCAUCAACAUCAUACCUCACCUUUUUUUUCCCUUAAAGUUAUUAUUUAUAAAUUCAACUGUUAAAUCAUACAAUAUAAUUUAAUUCUUAAUAGCUAUAAUACUGUAAAGGUCAACUUUAAAUCUUACUUUCAACUUUGAAAUUAAGAUAUUGGUUUGGUCAAAGAAGAGUAUAGAACUAUUUUUAAAAAAAUAUUAAUACCUCUAUUAACUAAAUAAAACUAUUUUAAUAUACACAGAAUAGAGAUUAAGCCUCUAACUACGUGAUUAAGAAACGAAGUUAUUUGUUAAUCAUAUGAGUUAUUUUUAUAAUUCUACUUCCAUCUUAAUUAAUAUUUGGGCAAUAUUGAUUUUUGUAAAUAAUCGAUUUAAAUUUUUAUUUCAUCUAAAUCUAUCCCCAAAUUUUAAGUUUAGCCUAAUUAAUAUUAAGAUGUUAUUCAUGUUGUAAAAAAAUAUCUUUAAAUUUUAAUUGACUUUCAAAAUUUAAUUUUCCAUUUUAAUAGUAGACACUCUAAACUUUAAAUUCCAUUUCAAUUCAUUCUGAAAUUUGAUUCUACUUAUAAAUAUAGAUUACAUUAAUCUGAAAUUAUAUUGCUAAGGGAAAAGAAACUUCAGCUAAUUAUUUAUCUUAUAUUUUAAUUGUUCANUAUUUUAAUUUUUGUAUAAAAAAUGCUUUCAAACAUUAAAGUAUAAGAAAAUUAUAUUAAAAAAUUAAAUAAAAUGAUUUUUAUCAUUUUAUAUUUAUAUGUUUUUAAGUCUAAANNNNNNNNNNNNNNNNNNNNNNNNNNNNNNNNNNNNNNNNNNNNNNNNNNNNNNNNNNNNNNNNNNNNNNNNNNNNNNNNNNNNNNNNNNNNNNNNNNNNNNNNNNNNNNNNNNNNNNNNNNNNNNNNNNNNNNNNNNNNNNNNNNNNNNNNNNNNNNNNNNNNNNNNNNNNNNNNNNNNNNNNNNNNNNNNNNNNNNNNNNNNNNNNNNNNNNNNNNNNNNNNNNNNNNNNNNNNNNNNNNNNNNNNNNNNNNNNNNNNNNNNNNNNNNNNNNNNNNNNNNNNNNNNNNNNNNNNNNNNNNNNNNNNNNNNNNNNNNNNNNNNNNNNNNNNNNNNNNNNNNNNNNNNNNNNNNNNNNNNNNNNNNNNNNNNNNNNNNNNNNNNNNNNNNNNNNNNNNNNNNNNNNNNNNNNNNNNNNNNNNNNNNNNNNNNNNNNNNNNNNNNNNNNNNNNNNNNNNNNNNNNNNNNNNNNNNNNNNNNNNNNNNNNNNNNNNNNNNNNNNNNNNNNNNNNNNNNNNNNNNNNNNNNNNNNNNNNNNNNNNNNNNNNNNNNNNNNNNNNNNNNNNNNNNNNNNNNNNNNNNNNNNNNNNNNNNNNNNNNNNNNNNNNNNNNNNNNNNNNNNNNNNNNNNNNNNNNNNNNNNNNNNNNNNNNNNNNNNNNNNNNNNNNNNNNNNNNNNNNNNNNNNNNNNNNNNNNNNNNNNNNNNNNNNNNNNNNNNNNNNNNNNNNNNNNNNNNNNNNNNNNNNNNNNNNNNNNNNNNNNNNNNNNNNNNNNNNNNNNNNNNNNNNNNNNNNNNNNNNUUUUGAUAUUUUUUUAACAUAUGAGAAAACAAUUUACAUAAUUAAGAAAUCAAGAAACAUUAGAAAAAAUUAAGAAAAAAAAUAAUUACAGUAAAAUGUAAAGUCUUAGCUUUUAGUGUUAUUGAGGAACCAAAUUGUAUAGUCAUUAGAAACCAAAUUGAAGGCUGAAGAGAGAGCUCCUAUUUCUUCAAACUAAGGCAGCUCUACAUUUAGGGAAUUUGAUCGCAGUGCUGCUUCUGUUUCUACUGUGCCUCUCUCUGCUUAAAUGCGGUAACUAGCCGUUUUCCUCAAUUACGGAAAUCUUGCGCUUCCGAGCUGUCAAAUUUGCACANUGCGUCAUUUUGAAGUUAAUCAGGUCUUGUUCAUUUACCCAGCGAUACUGAAAUUUCUUCACAUCCACAGUAACAAAAAAACUAUGGUAAUCCAACAAUGUCGUAAUCCUGCUCAAACUGAAACGAAAACGAUUAAUACCACGUGCGUUCAUAGAAACGUCUUGAUAAUGUAACCACAUGUGAUCUGUUCUAAAAUCCAUUGGAAUUUCUUCAUGGUCUAGACGAAAUAUUACGCAACACAGAACACCAAUGAAAUUAUUGUCAUGUGGAACGGGAGGUAGAUCAACGGUUAGGUAUUUUUCGUCCAGGUUUUCUUUGUCCAGGUAUUGUAUGUCCACGUUCACAAACUCAUUGUUGAACAAAUUCGGUAUUUGACUUCCAGGCAUAAUACUAUCAGGCAUAUGAGUUAUAGGGAAUGGCAAUUGGUAGGUGGCCUGGUACCAGCAGAGUUAUUGGUUAGUAGUUGUUCUCCUACACAAAACAAAAAUUAAAAAGCAAGAAGAAGAAGAAGAAGGAAAGAGCAUCCACACCUGAAUAAUUUGAAUUGUCCAUGAAAAACUCUUUCUAAUGCACUCUUCAAUCUCAACUAAUUCUGGGCACCCGAAUAUAUUUAGUCCUACAUUCCAAAAAUAUAUACCUUCUUCCUUAUUAAGAAAAUAACGCGAUUCAAAUAUUGAAGAUAGGAGGAAUCUCGACGAGGAAAGUUUUGAGGACAAGACACUUCCUGAAGGAAGAUCGGGCAAGUAUUUCAAUUGCUUGCAAUCCUGUAAGUUUAAAUAAUACAGUCUCCAAAGGUCCUUGAGAUUAGGCAAUGUAACAAAAUUGUUUCCCUUUAAAUUUAGCUUCUCUAAGGAACUUAACUUUCCAAUGUAAUCAGGAAUUUGAGCUAAGUUACAGAAGCUUAGAUCGAGUUCACACAAACAAGAAAGAGGAGAGGAGGGCGACAAACAGCUGAUCAAGUACUCUGUGUUCCUUGUUUCAUCUUGUAAGCAUUUACUAUCUAUUAUUGAACAACCACUUACAUCCAGAUAUUUAAGAGAAUUCAGUCCCAAUAUAGUAUUGGAUAAGAUUACUAGUUUUUUGCAGUCUCUCAAAAUCAAACCAACAAGCUUUCUCAAACUCCCAAUAGAUGGAGUGAGUUUUUGGAGCUGUAUGCAUCCUAAAAGAAUUAUCCAUUCAAGAUUUAGGGCCUCUGCUACAUCUGGCAUCUCAACUAAACUUUCGCAAAAGGAGAGAUCCAAACGCUUCAAAUUGGGUAAAGGCUACAUAAAUGGGCAAAAAAAAAAAAGAAAACAAAAUUAAUAAUGACACUUGGGUUUUAUUUAAUUUCUUUUCUCCAUAAAUUAAUCAAAGAAUAAAGGAAUUAAAAAUAAAAAGUUUGUCAUUUAUUUUCUUUAUUUUUAAAAGAAGUACACAUAAAAAAUUAAUUUACACUACCUUUGUGCCUUCCCACAGUCGUUGAAUACUGCUCCCAUAGAGUAUUAAGUCAACUAGUUUGUGUGGCUGAAAACUUUGAGGCAAACACUCAAACGGAUAUCUCCUCCAAACAAGAUAUCCUAGUUCAUUCGAAAGAUGACUCAGACUUCCCGAAAACUUCACGUACCCAACAUAAAGCAAUUUCAGGUGUUUAAUUUUUGAUAGACCAUCCGCCUUGAUUGUUUCAUAAUCUGUAAAUCAGUUGCAUGAUUCCGUAAAUUUAGAAGCAGUUUUUUAAUUGUUGAAUAGUCUAUGAUAAUAUUAGGAAGUAGCAAGUUACAUACGUGGACCGCUUUUUCUUUUCAGUUUCUUUAAUCUUAGGUGAGGCUAUAUUUUAGACAGUUUCUCAUUCAAUAAAAUACAUGAAUUUCUUCUUUCACAAUACAACCUUUACAUACCUGUAACAUCAUCCUCAAGAACUAUUGCCUCAAGGUUUCGAGUUACCUAUAACACCGCACAUUAUUAGAUGUAUGUUUUGAAGUAUUUACAAAUUCUAAAAUAAUUGCAAUCUAAAAUUUAUAAUCAAACAUGUAAAUUUUACCUCGUUCUCUGACAUAGCAUCAUGGAGAUCUUUGCAUGUCCACAACCUACUCCACUUUAUAGGCUCUUUAGGUGAUACUUCCCGAACAAUACACCUUCCCAAAUCCACUAACAAGCUAUGCAUACCUAUGGACCUCCCAUGUCUGGUAAUGAGUGAUUUAUCAAUGAGAACUUGUAUGCUAUCUUCAGGAUGAAAUCCACGGAAAUUUAGAAUUUCCUUCAAAUGUUCUUCGUGAUAAAAAUUGAAGAAGCAAGCAAUAUCCAAAAAUGUUUGUUUGUAUUUUUCUUCCAGUUGAAUAUAACUUAUGCGCAAAAUAUCCAUAAUAUUUUUACUUUUAUUUUCUUUUAGCCCUUCCAAUACACUUUUCCAUUGUGACAAACUUCGGCCAAGCAAAGAUGACCCAAUUGUUUCAAUUGCCAAGGGAUGCCCUUCAACAUGUGAUAGUAUUUCAUCUGCCAACUUUUCAUAAUCGCUCAAAAUAUAAUUAUCUUUGAAAGCAUUUCUACAAAAUAGUUGGAUAGCAUCUUCUCGUAUCAACGGUCGAACUUGAUAAAUAUCAUCCACUCCAUGUAUCUUCAAUAUUUGUUCAUCCCUAGAAACUAUGAUGAUUCUGCUCCCUUUACCUAAGCAUUCUCGCAACAAAUUGUCUCUAUUUCCGCUAAAUAUCCUCAGUUGUUGAACUUGAUCAACGUUGUCAAAAACUAUAAGUGUCUUAGCAUUGUUCAGUUUGGACUGCACCAAACAUGUUCCCUCGAUAACAUUGCAAAUCUCUACAUUUUUCUCAUUUAGAGUCUGAGAAAUUAAUUGCUUUUGUAAGCCCAACGAACGAGAAUCUACAAAUAUUUUGCUUACAUCAUCAAUAAAACAACGAUAAUUAUAUUGAUGACAAAUUCUUUCAUAUAAAGCCCGAGCAAGAGUUGUCUUUCCUAUACCACCCAUCCCACUUAUUCCGACAACUCGAACAUCGUUACGAAGGUCGAAACGCAAAAUAUUUCCUAAGUCUUGAACUCGAUCCUCUAUCCCAACUAGUUCAUCCCUUGGAAAAUUUAAAAUUUUUGGUCUCAAAUUAUUUAUUAUCUCUUGAACAAUUUUUUCAAUCUGUUCAUUCUGUGACCUGAAAAUUUAAAUGAAAUGAAGGCAAAACAUCAUGAACAGAACAUGAAAAGAGUAUAUACAUUUUUAGGAUAAAAUAUUAACGUAAAAAAUUUUAACUUAUUUUCAUUAAAUUAGUAUAUAUUUGGACUCAAUUACCUCUGUUUUUAAAUAAUGACAACGCAAAUCAUAAUUAGCAUAAAGAAAGUCUUAGAAAGCUAUAAGAUAUUGUGAUUAGUCUAUAAGCAAAAAUAGCUAAAAAGAUGCAGAAUACAAUAUAUAUAUAUAUAUAUAUAUAUAUAUAUAUAUAUNAUAAUAUUUUUACUUUUAUUUUCUUUUAGCCCUUCCAAUACACUUUUCCAUUGUGACAAACUUCGGCCAAACAAAGAUGACCCAAUUGUUUCAAUUGCCAAGGGAUGUCCUUCAACAUGUAAUAGUAUCUCACGUGCCAACUUUUCAUAAUCGCUCAGAAUGUAAUUAACUUUGAAAGCAUUUCUACAAAAUAGUUGGAUAGCAUCUUUCCAUAUCAACGGUCGAACUUGAUAAAUAUCAUCCACUCCAUGUAUCUUCAAUAUUUGUUCAUCCCUAGAAACUAUGAUGAUUCUGCUCCCUCCACCUAAGCAUUCUCGUAACAAAUUGUCUCUAUUUCCGCUAAAUAUCCUCAGUUGUUGAACUUCAUCAACGUUGUCAAAAACUAUAAGUGCUUUAGCAUUGUUCAGUUUGGACUGCACCAAACAUGUUCCCUCGAUAACAUUGCAAAUCUUUACAUUUUUCUCAUUUAGAGUCUGAGAAAUUAAUUGCUUUUGUAAACCCAAUGAAUGAGAAUCUAGAAAUAUUUUGCUUACAUCAUCAAUAAAACAUCGAUAAUUAUAUUGAUGACAAAUUCUUUCAUAUAAAGCCCGAGCAAGAGUUGUCUUUCCUAUGCCAUCCAUUCCACUUAUUCCGACAACUCGAACAUCAUUAAGGAGAUCGAAACGCAAAAUAUUUUCUAAGUCUUGAACUCGAUCCUCUAUCCCAACUAGUUCAUCCCUUGGAAGAUUUAAAAUUUUUGGACUCAAAUUAUUUAUUAUCUCUUGAACAAUUUUUUCAAUCUGUUCAUUUUGUGGCCUGAAAAUUUAAAUGAAAUGAAGACAAAAUAUCAUAACAUGAAAAAAGUAUAUACAUUUUUUAGAUAAAAUAAUAACGUAAAAAAUUUUAAGUGUCAAACUAGUAUUUUCAUUAAAUUAGUAUAUAUUUGGACUCAAUUAGCUCUGCUUUUAGAUAAGGCAUAACACAAAUCAUAAUUACCAUAAAGAAAGUCUUAGAAAGCUAUAAGAUAUUGUGAUUAGUCUAUGAGCAAAAAUAGCUAAAAAGAUGCAGAAUACAGUAUAUAUAGGCCACCGCAGUUUAAUUUGUGUAAAGCACUUCCAAAUAUCAAUAAAGCUAGAUUUGUCAUAAAAUCAAUUGAGGUUAGUAAUUAUUGAAUUGAGAGAGAAGAGUGCUCACUUAUUUCCGAUUUCCGAACCAGAGAUAUCGGCCACUUUUCUGAGAGCUUCUUUCCAUCUUUGAACUUCCUCCAUCUUCACCUUAUCUUCUCUGAAUCUAUUUUCGUGUUCUGCAAAUGCUUUCUCAUAACAUCCUUUCUGAUUGCGCACCGUCGUAGGCUCAACAUCAUAAAAGAUAGGUAUAAGAGGUCUUGCUGAAGUUUCAGAGCAAUUAAGUAUCUCUACCAGUUCACGCAAGCACCAAGUGGAAGAAGCAUAGUUCUUUGAUAAGACAACAACAAAAACUUGAGAGUCCCGAAUGGCUUGUAGAAGCUCGGGUGCUAUGAAAUCACCUUUUUUGAUACAUUGGUCAUCUUUGAAGGCAAGAAUGCCUUGUCGAUGGAGAGCUCCAAAGAGAAAACUAGUGAAGUUGUUGCGCGUGUCUUCACCACGGAAGCUGACAAAUACAUCGUAUGCAUUAGAUGAAGAAGAGGUGCGAUGGAUGAUGGCGUCGGAAGCUGGUACGGAAGGUCCGAUAGGAGCUGUUGGGUCAGACACGGUCAUGCAGUCGGACAUGCCGGACAUGAUCCGGUCCGGUUCUUUGACAAACCGGAGGAUACGGCGGAGAAUGUUGAAGACAGGCGAAUACAUCAUUAAGAAAAUCAGAAACGAAAUGUAGUCCCACUGAAUUCGUCGAAGUGAGAGAUAAUUGUUAUUAGGGCCUGACUUUAUGGAGAAAGGAAUUCUAAAGUUAACGCGUUUCACUUUUAUUGUCUCUUUCGGUGAUUUUUUCGUUGAAGCUUCUUACAAAAAUCAUUAACGCGUUUGUUUUUAUUUGGUUAUUUUGUUUUGUCUUUUUGUGAAGAAUGAUGGGAGCCACCAUGUUUGUCCUUCCUCAUACAUUGUCAUAUGCUUUCCAGCUACACAAGAUGUAAUUUCAUAUGUGCCAAUUUAAGGAGUAAGGAUCUUCUUCCUUCACUACACGAGAUACUGAUCUGGAAACAAAACUAAAACAGGGGAUCUCCAUAGUCAUUCUCUAAUCCUAUUUUUAUUUUGGAUCUGUUCUUAUUUUCAUUUCAUACACCUUUCUAUGAUAACCGCUACUAUGUUUUUAUUAUUUUCCUUAUUUUACAUAAGUAUUUAAUAUUAUAAAACAAAAAGAUAAAAAAAAUAAUAAAAAAAGAGAUAAAACAUUAAAAUAACUAAAAUUGGUUUGUUAUGUUUAUUGUCUUUAAUAUUUCUUUUAAUAAUUAAAUAAAUAAAGUUUCUUUAUUUUCUAUUUUAUUUUGAUCAUUUAUAUGUUUUUUUUUCAUUUAAUAAAAUUUAUAGAAUAAAAGAUAUUAAAAAAUGUAAUUUUAUAUGUGCCAAUUGAGGUCUAACAUGUCUUACAGGUUCACAAAUUUCUACCUUUAACAAGAAAGUGGGCCGACAAAGAAGAAGAAAUCCUGUCUUUAACAAUCCACCUCUUAAAAAUUGGAUUUCAUUAAAUAAAUGCAUUUCAUUAAGAAUCCAUCUCACUCUGUCAUAAGAGAAUUUUUGUGAGAAAUUAAAUGUCAUCUUAUUAACCUUGUAUAUAUUUAAACGGUAUGUAGUUAAUUAUUUAAACGUCAUUUACAAAAAUGAUUAUCAUGCGAUUGUACCCAUCAUCUUAAUACUCAUUACGUAAAAUCUAAAUACCAUAUUCAAAUACCAAAGAAAAUAUAUAUCCAAAAAUCUAAAAACAUAAACAUUCUCAUACAAUUGGUCAGUCAAAAUUACGCAAUCCUUAUUCUCCAUCAAGAGUUGAGAUACGUAGGAACAAAGCGAGUCUUUAUCAGGUUCACCUCCCAAACAUCCAAAAUUAUCCAUUAUCAUUUUCAAUCAUAUUUUUCAAACAAAUUUCCAAAUCAUUUUUAAACAUAUUUUUCAAAAGAACUACGUAACCCUACUUUCUAUGAUGUCUGAGAAUAUAUAGGUCAAUCCUUGUCGGGCUUCGUAAAAUUAAAAAAUAUUGUUUUGUUUCCUAUGUCUUUUUGUAUUAUUAUUUUCGGGAAAAAUAAUCAUUUUGAAAACCACAUCAAGUUCGUAAACCAAGCCUUAUUUUUAUGGCUUUUUCGUAGUUUUUUAGGAUAAACUAUGGUGGCGACUCAAAACUCUGAUUUUCGAACUUCUUUAUUAUUUUAAAAGUUUCGCUAAUACUCCGUCGUUAUCCCGGUUGCGACAUCUCCCACAGUUACGGCGAGACUUCGAUGGGUCUUGACCAUCAACGAGGUCAAUGACAACCGUCUCUUCAUCGCCAUUUCCUCUUCAUCGCCAGACCCAAAACAGAGUUUCUUCUUUCUCCCCCACAAUUUCGAUAAGACUCUAAUGGGCCUUUAAUAUCAACAUGCGUAUCACCCCCUCCCCUUCUUUCUCUAUUUUGUUUCUUUCUCGAUUUGUAUCCAUUCUGAGGGUGAUUGAGGCUGAUUGGGUGCAUUCUAAUGGGUUGUNGCUACCAAAUAGAGAUGGUGAAGCUGAUAAUUCCUCGCGACAAUUGGCAUCAUUUCUGAACUGUGGCAAAUUGUGUUUAAUUGUUUGAGAUGAUUAUGUAAUUUGUUGGAUUGUUGGAUGAUUUAUUUGAUUGUGCAAUUCGUUUAUUGGAUUGUUCGAUGAUUUAUUUGAUUGUGAAAUUCGUUUGUUGUAUUGUUGAACUUUAAUUUGUAUGCUUUUAUUAUACACACAAACAUUUUGGACAAAAAAUCCCUAAUUUAGCAUAACACAUUUUAUUUUAUUUAAAUUUUAGUUUUUUAAAACUUAAAAUAAUUAAAUUUCACAUAAUGUAACCUAACUUUGCCACAUGCUUCACAUUUGAAAAGUCAGCAUGUCACCCCACUGUCGUCUUAACGCCAUCUCAUUGCAAUCUUAACGUCGUUAACUCAAAUUGACGACAAUGGUGCAAUUGAAUCAAUUUUACGCCAUGAAGGAUCAAAUCUCAAGACAAGAUUCGUCCAACGGUCAUAUUAUCAUCAAAUCUCAAGAUAAACAUUGUGUAAAUGACUAUAUCAUCAAAGGUGUAUAAAUAGAUGAUCAAGAGAAGAAGAAAGAUAAUGACGAUGAUAGGAAGAAAAAUAGCAUGAAGACAAAUUAUCAUUAGAGUUGAGCAAGAAAUUUUUUUUGAGCUAUUAGAGUUAAUUCCUUUUACACAAGAGUAGAGAGAAAGAGAAGAGCUCAAGGAAAAAGAAAAAAUCUCUCGGGCUUCAUACAAAUUUGCUAAAUUUGGAGCCAUUUCUACAAAUGUUAGAAAUUGAGAAAACAAAACCCAUACAAAUUUGUUUUUCCUUGAAAUAGUCUAGUUCUAAUCUUUAUCUAUAUCAUUUUUCUUCGUAGAAGAUUCAGUUAAACUUUUGAAUUCUGAAAAUUUGAAAAGAAAAAAUAAGGAUUUAAAUAGUUUUUGGGUAACCACGGACCAUAUAGUUUAAGAAAAUAUUUUUUUAAUAAGAAUAGCAUUUAUUUUCUUGAUUUCCGUGAUCAGAAUAACAAAAAUAUGUGUUCGAUUUUAACUAUUUUUAAUAUUUAAAAAAUUAUGAAAUAAUUUUAUCAAUUUUGAAUAAUAUGAAUAAUUUGUAUUUGUAUUAAACAUUUUAUUAAAUAAAUUAUGUUAAAUGGUGAUAGAAUAAUCUAACAAUCAUAAUAGAAUCCAUCAUAAGAAAAUGUUGCAUCCAACUGUUGUUUGAAAACUGCUUCCAUUCCAACACAACUUAUGAUGACCAUUUUUUGUGCAAAAUGCAACCUCCUCAUAGACCCCUGUGAUAUUGCAACAGAAUAAGCAAAAUGCUAGAACGAAUAGAAAGCAACACAAUCCUAUAAAAUGUGAACAUCACAAAGACCAAAGGCGUAAGCAUUUAAACAAAGGGAAUGAAGUGGAAUAAAAUCCAGAGGUUAGCAUGACACAAUAUUAUAUAUAAUAUGACUUUGAUUAAAAUGAAGUUCCUAUAUUAUUACAUAAUAACAUUUUCAGUUCCAAAGUCAAUGACACCAACUUGAAAUCACGACAGCAACAAAAUCACUAGCAUGAGUGGAUACAAACAACCAAAAAAAUGUCGCAUGUUUCCCCUUCAAACCUUAUGUCAAUGAUAAAUUAACUGAUGCUCCAAAGGAGAAAAUUUUGUCUUUUAUAUAGGGGCUAAAUACCUGACUUUCUUGAUCAUAAUGGCAAUGUAUCAACUUUGUACCGAUUAGUAGUAAUAUAUUGACCAUUUUGAUUUACAUAAUAAUUUAUAAUAGUUUAUAAAAUUAAUGAUGUCAAUUUAUAAAUAAGAUCUAUGUACUGAUUAAUCAUUGCCAAUUUCAAUCAAAUAACAUUAGAAAAUAUUAAGAAAAAAAUAAUUACAGUAAAGUGUAAAAAGUCUUACCUUUUAGUGUUAUUGUAGAACCAAAUUGUAUAGUCAUUAGAAACCAAAUUGAACGCUGAAGAGAGAGCUCCUAUUUCUUCAAACUAUGGGAAUUUGAAUGCAGUGCUGCUUCUGUUUCUACUGUGUCUCUCUCUGCUUAAAUACGGUAACUAACCGUUUUCCUCAAUUACGGAAAUCUUGCCCUUCCGACCUGUCAAAUUUGCACAAUGCGUCAUUUUGAAGUUAAUUAGGUCUUCUUCAUUUACCCAGCGAUACUGAAAUUUCUUCACCGUAACAAAAUUCCUAGAAGUCUUAUAACUCAACAAUAAGUCAAUCAUCCUCAAACGGAAAUGAUAAGGAUGAAUACCACGUUCGUCCAUAGAAACCUUUUCAUAAUGUAAGCACAUGUGAUCUCUUCUAAAAUCCAUUGGAAUUUGUUCAUUUUUUAGUUCGUCUAUAGAAACCUUUCCAUAAUGUAAGCACAUGUGAUCUCUUCUAAAAUCCAUUGGAAUNUGAGAGCUUCUUUCCAUCUUUGAACUUCCUCCAUCUUCACCUUAUCUUCUCUGAAUCUAUUUUCGUGUUCUGCAAAUGCUUUCUCAUAACAUCCUUUCUGGUUGCGCACCGUCGUAGGCUCAACAUCAUAAAAUAUAGGUAUAACAGGUCUUACUGAAGUUUGACAGCAAUUAAGUAUCUCUACCAGUUCACGUAAGCACCAAGUGGAGGAAGCAUAGUUCUUUGAUAAGACAACAACGAAAACUUGAGAGCCCUGAAUAGCUUGUAGAAGCUCGGGUGCUAUGAAAUCACCUUUUUUGAUACAUUCGUCAUCUUUGAAGGCAACAAUGCCUUGUCGAUGGAGAGCUCCAAAGAGAAAACUAGUGAAGUUGUUGCGCGUGUCUUCACCACGGAAGCUGACAAAUACAUCGUAUGCAUUAGAUGAAGAAGAGAUGCGAUGGAUGAUGGCGUCGGACGCUGGUACGGAAGGUCCGAUAGGAGCUGUUGGGUCAGACACGGUCAUGCAGUCGGACAUGCCGGACAUGAUCCGGUCCGGUUCUUUGACAAACCGGAGGAUACGGCGGAGAAUGUUGAAGACAGGCGAAUACAUUUAUUCAGGAAAUCAGAAAGCAAACUGAGUCCCACUGAAUUCCUGGAAGUGAGAGAUAAUUGUUAUUAGGGCAAGUAAGGGAGUGGCCUGACUUUAUGGAGAAAGGAAUUCUAAAGUUAACGCGUUGAAUUUUUGCAGUCUCUUUCUGUGAUUUUUUCGUUGAAGCUUCUUACAAAAAUCGUUAACGCGUUUGUUUUUGUUUUGUCUUUUUGUGAAGAAUGAUGGGAGCCACCAUGUUUGUCCUUCCUCAUACAUUGUCAUAUGCUUU